rnacentral:rRNA from 1 species
CAGCAGCCGCGGGAAAACAGAGGGUGCGAGCGUUAAUCGGAUUUACUGGGCGUAAAGCGUGCGUAGGCGGCUUUUUAAGUCGGAUGUGAAAUCCCUGAGCUUAACUUAGGAAUUGCAUUCGAUACUGGGAAGCUAGAGUAUGGGAGAGGAUGGUAGAAUUCCAGGUGUAGCGGUGAAAUGCGUAGAGAUCUGGAGGAAUACCGAUGGCGAAGGCAGCCAUCUGGCCUAAUACUGACGCUGAGGUACGAAAGCAUGGGGAGCAAACAGGAUUAGAGACCCCUGUAGUCCCUGUCUCUUAUAA